UUCAUCCUCAGAGUCGAGGUCUUUCUUAGACUGGAUUACAUGGUACUCAAAGUCAGACCUGAAAAUAAAAAAUAAGAUUCUGUUAUGUUCAGUCGAACGAGAUUUCACAGUUGUACUUGUACCUCUCUCCAGCGAGGGUUAUAAAUUUUAAGUUAAAGUUAAUACCAAUACGCACUUAACUCGCAUAAAACUGCUACUUAGAAGGAUACUUAUCGGUAAAUUUAAUCGAGAACAAACAUCACUCAACACCAUAUUCAGAAUAGUUUAUAGCUAAAUAAAAUAUUACAAACUUACGAACAUUGUUUCAAGGUGAAUUUCUCCGUGUACGUAAAACUCGCACUGUAACACUUGCACUUGUUAGAAAAUAGUACAGGAAAUGAAUAAGCCAGGGGUUUUAUUAAUAAAACGAAACUGACGUAAAGACAUGAGUUAACAACCUAAAAGCAAAUUAUAACUAACAUAAACUACAACAUUUGCAAAAAUACAGUAAGAAACCAAUAUAAUACAAAGGUUGAUCAUCACUGUAAUAUAAUAUUCAACUCAGCUAAUUAUUGAAAAACAAAAGUGUAAUAUUUCUUUUGUCGGAAACAAGAUCCGCAUAAAGGUUCCGGCACUAAUCAAACGAAUGUCGCCGCGUUAAGACCGCGUUCAAUGUGCAAGCUAUAAUAGCUAAUAGCUAUACUAUAUUUUGUUACUACGAAGUUAUAAAUAGAGCAUUUAAUAAAUUAAAAUUACAACAGUUCGAGAUUUCAAGCCGGGUGCAUUAUCAGUUUCAAAAUCAGAAUGGGCUCGCAACCUAUUAACCACGCUGCUGAAAUGACUGAAACCACACCAUUUUAUUCGCAAGUUUGUGAAAAACCGAAUGAUCCGCUCAAUUAUUCUCAAGACAUGGAUGCGUACCUGAAAUACCAGGAUUUGCUCCUGAAUCCAUCUUUAGAAAUUCCAUUAUCAGGUACACCAGCAAAAAGUCAGAAGAAAAUCGCUAAGAAAGGAAAGAGGAAAAUAAAAGAAAUGGGUUUAAAUUCCCAUGUCAUCAGAAAGGUUACAAAAGGAAAGCGUCUGAUUAAAAUCAGUAUAUCCGAUUUGGAGCAAUCAAAUAUCGAAUCUAAUGGGGUUACAGUACAAUAUGUUGUUCAAGAUGACUAUGAUGAGUUAUUAAAUGCAACUGAAGGUCUGGUAGAAAAAAUUGUAAAAAAGUUGAGUGAAGUGAGUAAUUAUUAGAAAAUUUUAUGUUAUAAAAUGUACUUUACUUUUUAGUUAGUCGUCGUGCUUGUAAUAUUUCUCAUUACUUAAAUAAAAUGGUUUCAUGAUAAAUUAAUUGUUUUAUUUUUAACAUACUAAAACAUAGAGAAUAAAUACGAUAUUAUUUUUAGAGUUUUACCACUCACAAUAUAGUUGAAAUAUGUAUACUGAGAUCUAUUUUAUAUCAAAACCAUUUAUAAUUCAUGUAAAUCGUGAUCAUUUUAUAAGAUAAACAUAGCGAGUGAGCAACCAGGUAAACUGACUCAAAUUACAACUAAAUGAGUGAUUGCAAUUUCGCAUACUGUUCAAUGUAUGUCAUGAUUUUAAUAUAAUCAAAAUUUGAACCUUAUAUCUUUAUGAAAAGUUCUGCUUUGCAAAGUGCAGUAUAUGACAUACGCUAGCCUUUAAUUUAUACUGAACUCUUUGUUAUGGGUGUCAAAGAAGAUCAUAUUUUAUAUACGUUAUUUUAAACCAUAUAUUACAAAAUUCGUAGUAGAUAUGACGUGGGAGUACGUAAUCCGAAACAGCCAAUAGCAUAACUGGGUCUACAUCACACUUAUAAAGUUUUUACAAUGUUUCAUAUAAAUAAAAAUGGUGAUGUGUAGUAUGUCGGGUUGUGACGACCGACAACCUCAACACGUAAACCAUUCCUUGGCUUGGCCAACCGAGGCAUGUAGUGUUGAAUUCGAGACUUGGGGAUCUCUGUAUUUACGCGGUCGAUAGAUAUGGAAUCCCAUACCCGGAGGGGGUCAAACUCAAUCGAUGCAUGUAAAACGCGACUACACCAGAGUUCACACUUUGGGGGUCCAUUCGUGUUCUGCGACGCUGACGAGCUGAUCAGACACGUUGUGUGUAAACGCCACUGUCAAUCGAGCAAACGCUUGAGAGAGACCACAUCUGAGAUUGGCCACCUCGGAGAGUGUGUUGCGUUAAGCUUUU